GAAAAACUGACUGUAGGCAUUAUUUAAUCUCAGAGCGAGAUGUAAAAAGUAACCGCUCGACAAUGUAAAGUAUAAAAGCCAUCUCAAUAUGGCUAACCACAAAGGGUGGGUGUUACUGUAGCUUUUAGCCCCAGGAGAUCAUCGUCUCCAGCUGGCUUUAGAUACCCUUUC